ACUUUUUGGCAUCGACCUGAUUUACGUAAUACCUAUGUAUUGAAUUAUAUGGCAAUAAGAUUUCAACUAUUCAUGCGAAAACACACCACAGUAAGAUAUGAUUUUUUCAAAAGCACAGGGAAUUUUUAUAGUAUUUAUUGUUUGUCUUAAAUCAUUUGUUGAAGGUGAUAACAAAUAUUGGUAUAAUACAUACCCUGGUGGUAGGGAGCAUACGACUUCUGCAGACGAGAAAGCUAUAACGUAUGCCUUAACAAUUGUGGGAGUUGGCUGUAUUCCUGUAGUAACAAUUGUAAUUGUAUGUAUGAUACUCGAGCUAUGCAACAGGAGAAGAUAGAGUCAAGCAAGACUUUGAAUAUAGAGGAAAUCUCCAAUACCAUAACACCGGAUUAUGAAAUGGUUAUUCAUCCAUCACAAGUAAUAUUGAUGCAACUAGGUGAUUGGCAUAGAACCGAAUCAAAGCAUAACUAAUCUGAAUUCAAUGUUCGUUUGUUCACUUUUGUGGCUGAUAAAAAUUAAGAAUGUUCAGUCAUUUUAUAGUUUCAUUAUCAUUAAGCAUAAGGGAUGCUAUGUUGCAAUUAACGUAUUGACGUAUUUAUUAUUCUUAUUGGUAGAUGUAAACAUUGACACAUGUGAUGCUGAGGGAAUACUUUUGAAGGAAUUGUAUAUCUCACCUCUAUCACACAUAAAACGUUCUAAAACGUCCACGAUGGUAUACUGGUGAUUAUUUAUAUAAAGAUAAGGAGAUGUGGUAUGAUUGUCAAUGAGACAAAUAUCGACCAGAGUCAAAAUGAAGUAGUUGUAAGCAAUUAUAGCCAACCGCGCGGCCUUCAACGAUGCGAAAAACUCAUACCGUAUAGUAGGUAGGCUAUAAAAUGGCCCGUCAUGACAAAUGUGAAACAAUUCAAAUGAAAAACUAACAGGAUAAUUUAUAACAAAACAAUUUACUAAAAACAAUUAUGGUAGACAUAAACCAACGACACCCCCAGGCCUGUACUACUGGUUUUUGAACAUACAACUAGUUUAUUAGUAAACAAAGUUAUUCAAAAGUACUGUAAACAGAGAAUCAAACAUAGGGGUAAUAAAAAAAAAUAAGUUAAAAAAAAAGCAGAUAGCACCCUUACCAAAACGAAAAGCAACGAAAAUAUCAACAACAAUAAUAAAAGAUCGCACACACAAAAUAGUAACACCAAUCCCUGAAAUCGGGGGUGAAACCUGGUGUUCGGAAAUUAGUGUUAGCAGUUUCUGCUCCACCUAUUGCAUCCAUCGUGUUACUCAUUGGAUGUAAAAGUGAUUAAAAGGUGUAUUUGGUAGAUUAAUAUUCGCGGAGAGAUAACAGGUGUGUUGUAAUGAACUCUGACACAUAUCAGGGAUCACCAAUUUUUGUUACCUAUUGUGUCUAUUUAUUUUGCUCACAUUACACCACUAUGUACUAUAUAGAUAUGCUAUGGGAAUAUAUAUAUAUAUAUAAUAUAGAUCAAGCCAAGUAUAUAGACCGAUAUGAAAGACUAUUGUUGUUUCGUUUUAAUUUCGUAUUAUUCAAAAGCAUUUUUUUUAUAUUAAAAUCAUUCAACAUAUAAUUUGUUUAGUAUUUAUAUAUUUUCUUUUCAUGUUUUGUUUGUACCACAUUCUUUUUAUUUAUUUAUUUAAAAAAGCACACAAACAGUGACCAGAAUGACGAAUAACAAAACAAUAAAAUCAAGUGUACACUCUU